GGUGCGAGCGUUAUCGGAAUACUGGGCGUAAAGCGUGCGCAGGCGGCUUUGCAAGACAGAGGUGAAAUCCCCGGGCUCAACCUGGGAACUGCCUUUGUGACCGCAAGGCUAGAGUACGGCAGAGGGGGAUGGAAUUCCGCGUGUAGCAGUGAAAUGCGUAGAUAUGCGGAGGAACACCGAUGGCGAAGGCAAUCCCCUGGGCCUGUACUGACGCUCAUGCACGAAAGCGUGGGGAGCAAACAGGAUUAGAUACCCUGGUAGUCAAGGGCG
rnacentral:rRNA from 1 species